AAUUUUAAAAUAUAGAAAUAUACAUGUUAUUUUUAAAAUAUAUUAAACUUAAUUCAAAAUGAUAACUGUAAUUAUUAAUUUAAUUAAAUAUUGGAUUUAUAAAAUAUUCAAGUAUAUUUUUUAUAAUAUUUAUUUUGAUGUUAUAAUUAUUUUAAAUCUAUUAUUUACAAUUAAAUAUAAAUAACAUUUAGCUUUAAAAUCUAAAAUAAAUUUCCAUUUUUAUCAAACUUAAAUAAAAUUU
rnacentral:tRNA from 1 species